UACGUAGGGUGCGAGCGUUAAUCGGAAUUACUGGGCGUAAAGCGUGCGCAGGCGGCGUCGCAAGUCAGGCGUGAAAUCCCCGAGCUUAACUUGGGAAUUGCGCUUGAAACUACGAUGCUCGAGUGUGGCAGAGGGAGGUGGAAUUCCACGUGUAGCGGUGAAAUGCGUAGAGGUGUGGAGGAAUACCGAUGGCGAAGGCAGCCCCCUGGGUCGACACUGACGCUCAUGCACGAAAGCGUGGGGAGCAAAC
rnacentral:rRNA from 1 species